UACAGAGGUCCCAAGCGUUGUUCGGAUUCACUGGGCGUAAAGGGUGCGUAGGCGGUCGGGUAAGUCUGAUGUGAAAUCUCACAGCUUAACUGUGAAACUGCAUUGGAUACUAUCCGGCUAGAGGAAUGGAGGGGAGACUGGAAUACUUGGUGUAGCAGUGAAAUGCGUAGAUAUCAGGAGGAACACCGGUGGUGUAGACGGCUAUCUGGACCGUAACUGACGCUGAGGCACGAAAGCGUGGGUAGCAAACAGG
rnacentral:rRNA from 1 species